ACGGAGGAUGCGAGCGUUAUCCGGAUUUAUUGGGUUUAAAGGGUGCGUAGGCGGCACGCCAAGUCAGCGGUGAAAUUUCCGGGCUCAACCCGGACUGUGCCGUUGAAACUGGUGAGCUAGAGUGCACAAGAGGCAGGCGGAAUGCGUGGUGUAGCGGUGAAAUGCAUAGAUAUCACGCAGAACCCCGAUUGCGAAGGCAGCCUGCUAGGGUGCGACAGACGCUGAGGCACGAAAGCGUGGGUAUCGAACAG
rnacentral:rRNA from 1 species